rnacentral:lncRNA from 1 species
CAAAAAUGCAUCUUUCUUUAAUUUUUUUUUCUAGCACAGAAGUAAAUAGAUGUCUUUAACAUGAAAUCUUGGUGUAAAUUUGUUGAAUUAACUUUGCAAUGCUUCCUGAGUUUCAGUCCCCUGAGUACAGGUUGCCUUUUACGGUAGAGCUCUGCUUUUGCAGGAGCUAGAGCUGUGUGGCAACACUGCUGUUUUGCUUUGCUCUGUGUUUUGCUCCUAGGCUUUGGUCUUGUGAGCCACAGGUGCCUUCAUAUUAAUUCACUGUGGGUUCCCAUUGGGAGAAAAACAACGCAUGCACUCUGAGGAGAUGCCUGGCUGUGGCAAAGAGAAGAGUUUUCUCCGUUGUCGUGUCCUACAGGUGAAACAGCUGCCCUGCAGUUUUGCUGAUGAUGCUGCACUGGUGGAAGAGGGAGGGAAUUUGAAGCUCAAAGCCAGUUGCUGAAAUACCCUUCUUCUGGAGACACAAGGCCUGAUUCUGCAAGAAAUGAGUGAAGACCACUUCCUCUGAGGUCAUUAAAUUUCAGGUACAGACACAACAAAGCAGAAAACAUCUUUACCUUUAUGCUGAAGUCACUGGAACUGUCCGUGAACUUGAUGUUAAGCAUGUACUUUUAAAUGCUUAACUUCACUGGAAACCCAGUAUUUCAGAGGCUCAGGCCCUUCAGUCUGAAACCUAUCGUAGUGAUAAAUUUCAGGCAGUUUCUGAAUAUCUUGUCUCCCUUCUCGCACCUUCACAGAGCUUUUUUCUUUUCUUUAAUGUAGAUUUCUAUUUGUAAAAUGUUUCAAUGUAUUUAUUUUGCUAUUCAUUCAUUAAUGGCAUUUGCUAUCCAUUAAUGACAACGUGGCUAAAAUACUAUUAGAAAUAUGACAUUGCUGUGGAGGCAAAUUAGAAAUGUAAUGAACAACAUAGAGUCUCUCAAAUUUUGUAUGCUUAAUUAACUAUGCAUUAAUGUGUUUCCUUGCAAAUUGUGCCAUAAGGACUUUGAGUUUCCGACUGAUCUGUGUUGCUGUCCGUCAUUAGUCUUGAGCAAUCCAUAUUUCCAUCUCUUGCUUUUCAGAACCCCUGAAAGGUAUACACCCUCCCUGCAAUUGCAGGUCCAUGUCCACCCAACAGCAUGAGCUGCCCUCGCUGCUAUAUUCUCUGGGGAGUUUAUCUAUACUUCCUGCUCUAUAUGUCAUCCUAAAACAUUUUACAGAGCAGUAUAAGCUGGUAAAAAUUCACUUUUUCACAAAAUGAGUGUGAAAAUUGCAGCAACCAAUUGACUUGUGCAUACCCACUUUCAGCUCUUAAGUGCUAUAUCCUCUCUCACUCCACCUUCAGUUUAAUGUCCUAACCUCAGUGAUGCACAGAAUUAUAUAGCUUAAUAUAUAGCUUAAUCCAUUCCAGGGAGUUUUAUCUUUUCUUAUAUUAACUUAUCCAUAGAUGAUCUUGCAAUGAUGGC